rnacentral:rRNA from 1 species
UACGUAGGCAGCGAGCGUUGUUCGGAAUUACUGGGCGUAAAGAGUGUGUAGGCGGUGCUCUAAUUUCGGUGUGAAAUCUCCUGGCUCAACUGGGAGGGUGCGCCGGAAACUGGAGUGCUUGAGCGUGGGAGAGGAAAGCGGAAUUCCUGGUGUAGCGGUGAAAUGCGUAGAUAUCGGGAGGAACACCAGUGGCGAAGGCGAUCACCUGGGGUUGUUCUGACGCUGAGGAGCGAAAGCUAGGGGAGCAAACGGG